rnacentral:lncRNA from 1 species
CCGGCUGAUCAUUGCAAUUUUUUGAAACGGGCGCCCACGACGGCCACUACCCCGAAAACUCGACGCGCCGGCGCGGUGAAAAUUCCAUUUUUACCCUUCUUUCAGGCACCCUAUAAAUAUCAUUUCACCGCAACUCAUCUUCAAGCUCACAUCUCUUCUCCAGCGCGCGCACCUCCUUCUUUCUUCAAUCUUGCCAUCGAAGUCUUCCAGUUUCAGCUCUAAUCACUUCACCCCCUUCC